ensembl:lncRNA
CGAUAAAAAAGCCUUCAGCGCCUUCUCUUCGAACCCAAACCUGUUACCUGGAGUUUGACACGAUGGAUUUUGGUGUGAUGUUGUGAUGCCGUGUGUCUCACGUGAUCGAGCUGCCAUGCAAAGGUCAUUGUUGUGCAGCAGUUGCAGAACAGAGUGGGGAAAUAUAAGGUACAAAUCCAAAGUGCACAACAUGGCUAAAAAUAUAAACAGGUGAAGUGGCAAAUAACUAACAAAUCCAAUCAUCAUUGGACAGAACAUGUGUCUUAUUUAUAGGAUUCAUUAUUAUUAGAGUCAUUUAGCCAAAACAAUCAUAAUAAACAGCUAAUGUUUCCUCUGUUUAUAUCAUUAGAAACUGAAUAUCUAAUUUAAGAGCCCUGGCUUCUGGUGCUCUAAGCAUCAAAAACAACGUUUUUAAAAACUCGACAGCAAAGUCCUCCUUCACCAGCGACAUCCCAUAAUUACCUCACUGAGGACGUCUCAUUAAAACGAGCUGAGGAAACAAGUCUUCACCUGAGCUGUGUGGAUCGUCCAGAGCAACAGAGGCGUUCACGCAAAAAACUAAAAAUGAUGAGUUUUCAAAAGCUUUCAGACGGAGGACGCAAAACAUAAUAAUUAAAUAUCUGCAAGGCAUCAGCACCCCAUUAUUAUCUGCUGCCCUGUGUCUUCAUCUUCUUCAUGUCUUCAUCUUCUUUAUGUCUUCAUGUGUCUUCAUGUCUUCAUGUUUUCAUCUUCUUUAUGUCUUCAUGUCUUCAUGUCUUCAUGUCUUUAUAUCUUCAUGUCUUCAUGUUUUCAUGUGUCUUCAUGUGUCUUAAUGUGUCUUUAUGUCUUAAUGUGUCUUCAUGUCUUCAUGUGUCUUCAUGUCUUCAUCUUCUUCAUGUCUUCAUGUGUCUUCAUGUCUUCAUCUUCUUCAUGUCUUCAUGUGUCUUCAUGUCUUCAUCUUCUUCAUGUCUUCAUGUGUCUUCAUGUCUUCAUGUUUUCAUCUUCUUUAUGUCUUCAUGUGUCUUCAUGUCUUCAUGUCUUCAUGUCUUUAUAUCUUCAUGUCUUCAUGUUUUCAUGUGUCUUUAUGUCUUAAUGUGUCUUCAUGUCUUCAUGUGUCUUCAUGUCUUCAUCUUCUUCAUGUCUUCAUGUGUCUUCAUGUCUUCAUCUUCUUCAUGUCUUCAUGUGUCUUCAUGUCUUCAUCUUCUUCAUGUCUUCAUGUGUCUUCGUCUUCGUCAUGUCUUCAUCUUCUUCAUGUCUUCAUGUGUCUUCAUGUCUUCAUGUCUUUGUCUUCGUCAUGUCUUCAUCUUCUUCAUGUCUUUGUCUUCUUCAUGUCUUCAUCUUCUUCAUCUUCUUCAUGUCUUCUUCUUCAUGUUGUCAUGUCUUCAUGUCUUCAUCUUCUUCAUGUUGUCAUGUCUUCAUGUCUUCAUCUUCUUCAUGUCGUCAUGUCUUCAUGUCUUCAUCUUCUUCAUGUCUUCAUCUUCUUCAUGUCGUCAUGUCUUCAUCUUCUUCAUGUCUUCAUCUUCUUCAUCUUCUUCAUGUCUUCAUCUUCUUCAUCUUCUUCAUGUCGUCAUGUCUUCAUCUUCUUCAUGUCGUCAUGUCUUCAUGUCUUCAUCUUCUUCAUGUCUUCAACUUCUUCAUGUCUUCAUCUUCUUCAUGUCUUCAACUUCUUCAUGUCUUCAUCUUCUUCAUGUCUUCAUGUCUUCAUCUUCUUCAUGUCUUCAACUUCUUCAUGUCUUCAUCUUCUUCAUGUCUUCAUGUCUUCAUCUUCUUCAUGUCUUCAACUUCUUCAUGUCUUCAUCUUCUUCAUGUCGUCAUGUCUUCAUGUCUUCAUCUUCUUCAUGUCUUCAACUUCUUCAUGUCUUCAUCUUCUUCAUGUCGUCAUGUCUUCAUCUUCUUCAUGUCGUCAUGUCUUCAUGUCUUCAUCUUCUUCAUGUCGUCAUGUCUUCAUCUUCUUCAUGUCGUCAUGUCUUCAUGUCUUCAUCUUCUUCAUGUCGUCAUGUCUUCAUGUCUUCAUCUUCUUCAUGUCGUCAUGUCUUCAUCUUCUUCAUGUCGUCAUGUCUUCAUCUUCUUCAUGUCGUCAUGUCUUCAUCUUCUUCAUGUCGUCAUGUCUUCAUCUUCUUCAUGUCGUCAUGUCUUCAUGUCUUCAUCUUCUUCAUGUCGUCAUGUCUUCAUCUUCUUCAUGUCGUCAUGUCUUCAUCUUCUUCAUGUCGUCAUGUCUUCAUGUCUUCAUCUUCUUCAUGUCUUCAUCUUCUUCAUGUCGUCAUGUCUUCAUCUUUGCCUCUGAGUUUGUGCAUAAUAUUCACGUUUUCUCUAAAAGUUUGUUACAAUUCCUUUGAAGCUUUGAAUGAACAUAAAAACAUCUGAACUGA